AGCGAACGCUGGCGGCAGGCCUAACACAUGCAAGUCGAACGAACUCUUCGGAGUUAGUGGCGGACGGGGGAGUAACACGUGGGAACGUUCCUUUAGGUUCGGAAUAACUCAGGGAAACUUGUGCUAAUACCGAAUGUGCCCUUCGGGGGAAAGAUUUAUCGCCUUUAGAGCGGCCCGCGUCUGAUUAGCUAGUUGGUGAGGUAAAGGCUCACCAAGGCGACGAUCAGUAGCUGGUCUGAGAGGAUGAUCAGCCACAUUGGGACUGAGACACGGCCCAAACUCCUACGGGAGGCAGCAGUGGGGAAUCUUGCGCAAUGGGCGAAAGCCUGACGCAGCCAUGCCGCGUGAAUGAUGAAGGUCUUAGGAUUGUAAAAUUCUUUCACCGGGGACGAUAAUGACGGUACCCGGAGAAGAAGCCCCGGCUAACUUCGU
rnacentral:rRNA from 1 species